rnacentral:snRNA from 1 species
AGCUUUGCACAGUGGCAGUAUCAUAGCCAAUGAGGUUUAUCCGAGGCGUGAUUACUGUUAAUUAAGA